rnacentral:misc_RNA from 1 species
UCUCCGUAGGUGAACCUGCGGAGGGAUCAUUACUGAGUGAGGGCUCACGCCCGACCUCCCACCCUUUGUGAACCCAUCUUGCUGCUUCGGGCGGGACCCUGCCGGCACUCGGUCGCCGGGCGCCCCCGAAGGUCUCCCAACACUGCAUCUUUGCGUCGGAGUUUGAAACAAAUAAAACAAAACUUUCAACAACGGAUCUCUUGGUUCUGGCAUCGAUGAAGAACGCAGC